rnacentral:rRNA from 1 species
CCUACGGGAGGCAGCAGUGGGGAAUAUUGCACAAUGGGGGAAACCCUGAUGCAGCGACGCCGCGUGAGGGAAGAAGUAUUUCGGUAUGUAAAGCUCUAUCAGCAGGGAAGAUAAUGACGGUACCUGACUAAGAAGCCCCGGCUAACUACGUGCCAGCAGCCGCGGUAAUACGUAGGGGGCAAGCGUUAUCCGGAUUUACUGGGUGUAAAGGGAGCGUAGACGGUGUGGCAAGUCUGAUGUGAAAGCCCGGGGCUCAACCCCGGGACUGCAUUGGAAACUGUCAUACUUGAGUGCCGGAGAGGUAAGCGGAAUUCCUAGUGUAGCGGUGAAAUGCGUAGAUAUUAGGAGGAACACCAGUGGCGAAGGCGGCUUACUGGACGAUAA